AACCCAUGGUGAGGGCACCUUUUCAAUAGGCCUUUGUAUCUCUCCCCUGCAUCAUAAAGAGUUUAUAGAUCCAUCUGCAAAAAAGAAGAGAUAUCAUUCCUCAAUUU
rnacentral:snoRNA from 1 species